rnacentral:tRNA from 1 species
GCGUCUGUAGCCUAGUUGGUAAAGGCAGCACUCUAGAAUGUGUCUCAGCAUAGCUGAGGUCGUGAGUUCGACUCUCACCAGACACA